GCUACAGGCUUAACACAUGCAAGUCGAGGGGCAGCAUUUUAGUUUGCUUGCAAACUGAAGAUGGCGACCGGCGCACGGGUGAGUAACACGUAUCCAACCUGCCGAUAACUCCGGGAUAGCCUUUCGAAAGAAAGAUUAAUACCGGAUAGUAUACGAAUAUCGCAUGAUAUUUUUAUUAAAGAAUUUCGGUUAUCGAUGGGGAUGCGUUCCAUUAGUUUGUUGGCGGGGUAACGGCCCACCAAGACUACGAUGGAUAGGGGUUCUGAGAGGAAGGUCCCCCACAUUGGAACUGAGACACGGUCCAAACUCCUACGGGAGGCAGCAGUGAGGAAUAUUGGUCAAUGGGCGCGAGCCUGAACCAGCCAAGUAGCGUGAAGGAUGAAGGCUCUAUGGGUCGUAAACUUCUUUUAUAUGGGAAUAAAGUUUUCCACGUGUGGAAUUUUGUAUGUACCAUAUGAAUAAGGAUCGGCUAACUCCGUGCCAGCAGCCGCGGUAAUACGGAGGAUCCGAGCGUUAUCCGGAUUUAUUGGGUUUAAAGGGAGCGUAGGUGGAUUGUUAAGUCAGUUGUGAAAGUUUGCGGCUCAACCGUAAAAUUGCAGUUGAAACUGGCAGUCUUGAGUACAGUAGAGGUGGGCGGAAUUCGUGGUGUAGCGGUGAAAUGCUUAGAUAUCACGAAGAACUCCGAUUGCGAAGGCAGCUCACUAGACUGUCACUGACACUGGUGCUCGAAAGUGUGGGUAUCAAACAGGAUUAGAUACCCUGGUAGUCCACACAGUAAACGAUGAAUACUCGCUGUUUGCGAUAUACAGUAAGCGGCCAAGCGAAAGCAUUAAGUAUUCCACCUGGGGAGUACGCCGGCAACGGUGAAACUCAAAGGAAUUGACGGGGGCCCGCACAAGCGGAGGAACAUGUGGUUUAAUUCGAUGAUACGCGAGGAACCUUACCCGGGCUUAAAUUGCAACAGAAUAUAUUGGAAACAGUAUAGCCGUAAGGCUGUUGUGAAGGUGCUGCAUGGUUGUCGUCAGCUCGUGCCGUGAGGUGUCGGCUUAAGUGCCAUAACGAGCGCAACCCUUAUCUUUAGUUACUAACAGGUUAUGCUGAGGACUCUAGAGAGACUGCCGUCGUAAGAUGUGAGGAAGGUGGGGAUGACGUCAAAUCAGCACGGCCCUUACGUCCGGGGCUACACACGUGUUACAAUGGGGGGUACAGAAGGCGGCUACCUGGUGACAGGAUGCUAAUCCCAAAAACCUCUCUCAGUUCGGAUCGAAGUCUGCAACCCGACUUCGUGAAGCUGGAUUCGCUAGUAAUCGCGCAUCAGCCAUGGCGCGGUGAAUACGUUCCCGGGCCUUGUACACACCGCCCGUCAAGCCAUGAAAGCCGGGGGUACCUGAAGUACGUAACCGCAAGGAGCGUCCUAGGGUAAAACUGGUAAUUGGGGCUAA
rnacentral:rRNA from 1 species